UACGAAGGGGGGCUAGCGUUGUUCGGAAUUACUGGGCGUAAAGCGCGCGCAGGCGGUCUUCCAAGUCAGUGGUGAAAGCCCGGAGCUCAACUCCGGAACUGCCAUUGAAACUGUUGGACUUGAGUACGAGAGAGGUGAGUGGAAUUCCCAGUGUAGAGGUGAAAUUCGUAGAUAUUGGGAAGAACACCGGUGGCGAAGGCGGCUCACUGGCUCGGUAACUGACGCUCAGGCGCGGACAGCGUGGGGAUCAAACAGG
rnacentral:rRNA from 1 species